rnacentral:rRNA from 1 species
AUGACACCCUACCGUUGCUGCUGCUCCGAGGUCACGAGCAAUGCCACGGCGGCUGCCAUGUUAGUCACUAGCUUCUUCGUUGUUGCUUUCCUCUACUCUUCCAUCGCCGGGCUGAGCAAUGCCAACCUGACCUUUCCAGCUCCGUCGAUGUUUUUAUUUGUUGUAUCUUUGAGAAUAAAGAUUUUCCAGCACUAUAUUGACAGCAGUAUUAUACUAGGAUUGGCAGCAAAGAGUUUGGAGCUGCCAUUUAACAAAACAGUACAGCGAGGAGGUGUGCUCUUGAGUGUCAUACAGGAAUCCAUAUCCAAGGGCAGGUCAAUACCUGAAUCCUGA